GGCACAAAUGAUGAAUGACAAAGGGACUUAAUACUGAAAUCUGGUGUGGAAAUGCAGUGUGCUGAUGUGC